rnacentral:lncRNA from 1 species
GCAACCAACGCGAACGCGGGGUGCUUCUCCGGGCCGCCGCGCCGCGGAGGUGGGAGGUGGAGUUCGCGCGCUACAUCCCGGCGCCGCGCCAAGCUGGCCCGCCGGCUCCCCCCGGCCUCCGCCGCAUCACCCGCGGCAAAGCAGCUCCGCCACCGCGGGGGCGCGUGGCUCACCGCCGCGUCCCCCGCGGUGCUCCGCGUGUCGAGCCCCGGCCGCCCCUACGCGGGCCCCGUCCUCACCGUCUCCAUCGGCGACGUCGUCUACGUCCGUACCGAGAGCGCCCCCCUGGCUCCCUCUUCUUUCCGCUUCUGCUGUGGCCACACCACGUUGUGUGCCACUUUAUACAUGUCAUUGCUCAUGAUUGAGAAGUUUGCUGUACGUUUCCCACAGCCUUGUGAUGCAGAGUCAUUCUUGAAUUGUGUGAAGGUCUAUACAUCAGGUGUUCUUCAAGAUGUUGUUGCUGCUAAAGAAAUGACUGCUGAUAAAGUUGAAGGCGCUGGUAAAGAGAUUGAUAUUACCAUAAAAAGAGGUAUUAUGCCAUCUAUAAAGGCGGGCAAUCAUCUGCCUGCGAAAAUGCACAGUUUGGUGUUGAUGGAGGAAGCUGCUGUGACCCUCGCCAACCUGGAGAUCAAAGGACAAAUGAGUUGGACCUCCAGCAUUGCUGUGGAACAAACAGGUCGCCUCUUUGGUUCUCAGACAACAUUGAUACCAUCAUGCUGCCGCCGUUCUGCAAUGGUCAUGGCAGAGCCAAGCGCGGUCGGGUCCCUGGGUGUGUCAGCUAUCUGCUGGCACACGGACAUCGUGGUGGCAACCCGGAUCGCUGCAGGCACAACGCAGGCCGUGCAACGCCGUGGUAUGCCGGUGCAGGGAUGAAGCCGUGGAGCGCAAUGCCAACUGGAUCUCCCUCGGAAGGCGCGAGCACACACCGUUUGCCGGUUUCUGAUGAGCAGGAGUGCUAUCCGGCUAGCCGCCGGCGGAGGGUUCUGGCCUCUCCCAUCCGCCCGUGCAUUCUUCUCCGCGCGGGGGAGCUGCCUGACGACAGUGAUGGUGAGUCAAGCUCUGACGACAGUGAAUGCUGAGGCUUCUUGAUUCGGAG